GCGGCAGCUUACACAUGCAAGUCGAGCGGUAACAGGGGGUGCUUGCACCCCGCUGACGAGCGGCGGACGGGUGAGUAAUGCAUAGGAAUCUGCCCAGUAGUGGGGGAUAGCCCGGGGAAACCCGGAUUAAUACCGCAUACGCCCUUUGGGGGAAAGCAGGGGAUCUUCGGACCUUGCGCUAUUGGAUGAGCCUAUGUCGGAUUAGCUAGUUGGUGGGGUAAAGGCCUACCAAGGCGACGAUCCGUAGCUGGUCUGAGAGGAUGAUCAGCCACAUCGGGACUGAGACACGGCCCGAACUCCUACGGGAGGCAGCAGUGGGGAAUAUUGGACAAUGGGGGCAACCCUGAUCCAGCCAUGCCGCGUGUGUGAAGAAGGCUUUCGGGUUGUAAAGCACUUUCAGUGAGGAGGAAAACCUUCUGGUUAAUACCCAUGAGGCUUGACGUUACUCACAGAAGAAGCACCGGCUAACUCCGUGCCAGCAGCCGCGGUAAUACGGAGGGUGCAAGCGUUAAUCGGAAUUACUGGGCGUAAAGCGCGCGUAGGUGGUUUGAUAAGCGAGAUGUGAAAGCCCCGGGCUUAACCUGGGAACGGCAUUU
rnacentral:rRNA from 1 species